CAUGCUUACAUUGCAGUCGAACGGUAACGCGGGGCAACCUGGCGACGAGUGGCGAACGGGUGAGUAAUAUAUCGGAACGUGCCCAGUAGUGGGGGAUAGCCCGGCGAAAGCCGGAUUAAUACCGCAUACGACCUACGGGUGAAAGCGGGGGAUCGCAAGACCUCGCGCUAUUGGAGCGGCCGAUAUCAGAUUAGGUAGUUGGUGGGGUAAAAGCCUACCAAGCCAACGAUCUGUAGCUGGUCUGAGAGGACGACCAGCCACACUGGGACUGAGACACGGCCCAGACUCCUACGGGAGGCAGCAGUGGGGAAUUUUGGACAAUGGGCGCAAGCCUGAUCCAGCCAUGCCGCGUGCGGGAAGAAGGCCUUCGGGUUGUAAACCGCUUUUGUCAGGGAAGAAACGCUCCGGGCUAAUACCCUGGGGUGAUGACGGUACCUGAAGAAUAAGCACCGGCUAACUACGUGCCAGCAGCCGCGGUAAUACGUAGGGUGCGAGCGUUAAUCGGAAUUACUGGGCGUAAAGCGUGCGCAGGCGGUUUUGUAAGACAGGCGUGAAAUCCCCGGGCUUAACCUGGGAACUGCGUUUGUGACUGCAAGGCUAGAGUACGGCAGAGGGGGGUGGAAUUCCACGUGUAGCAGUGAAAUGCGUAGAGAUGUGGAGGAACACCAAUGGCGAAGGCAGCCCCCUGGGUCGAUACUGACGCUCAUGCACGAAAGCGUGGGUAGCAAACAGGAUUAGAUACCCUGGUAGUCCACGCCCUAAACUAUGUCAACUAGGUGUU
rnacentral:rRNA from 1 species